rnacentral:rRNA from 1 species
UACGUAGGUGGCAAGCGUUGUCCGGAAUUAUUGGGCGUAAAGCGCACGCAGGCGGUCCUUUAAGUCUGAUGUGAAAGCCCACGGCUCAACCGUGGAGGGUCAUUGGAAACUGGGGGACUUGAGUACAGAAGAGAAGAGUGGAAUUCCACGUGUAGCGGUGAAAUGCGUAGAGAUGUGGAGGAACACCAGUGGCGAAGGCGACUCUUUGGUCUGUAACUGACGCUGAGGCGCGAAAGCGUGGGGAGCAAACAGG